UACGAAGGGGGCUAGCGUUGUUCGGAGUUACUGGGCGUAAAGCGCAUGUAGGCGGCGAUUCAAGUCGGGGGUGAAAUCCUGAGGCUCAACCUCAGAACUGCCUUCGAUACUGUAUUGCUGGAGUAUGGAAGAGGUAGGUGGAACUGCGAGUGUAGAGGUGAAAUUCGUAGAUAUUCGCAAGAACACCAGUGGCGAAGGCGGCCUACUGAUCCAUCACUGACGCUGAGAUGCGAAAGCGUGGGGAGCAAACAGG
rnacentral:rRNA from 1 species